rnacentral:tRNA from 1 species
GCCUCUGUGGUGUAGUGGUCAGGGCGCUCGACGCGUAACCGAGUGGUCCGUGGUUCGAUUCCCAGCAAAGGCG